AUCUCUGGCCAUACCACCCUGAACGCACCUGAUUUCACCUGAUCUUGAAAGCUAAGCAUGGUUGGUUUGGCUAGUACUUGGAUAGAAGUGAUAACUCCCUCUUUGCCACCAGAAAUC
rnacentral:rRNA from 1 species